rnacentral:rRNA from 1 species
CGGAGGAAAAGAAACCAACAGGGAUUGCCUCAGUAACGGCGAGUGAAGCGGCAAAAGCUCAAAUUUGAAAUCUGGCGCAAGCCCGAGUUGUAAUUUGAAGAAGGUAAUUUUUGGGAAGAUGUUGACAAAAGUUUCUUGGAAUAGAACGUCAUAGAGGGUGAGAACCCCGUUUUGUUAGCCUCUCUUUCCUUGUAAAAUGCCUUCGAAGAGUCGAGUUGUUUGGGAAUGCAGCUCUAAGUGGGUGGUAAAUUCCAUCUAAAGCUAAAUAUUGGCGAGAGACCGAUAGCGAACAAGUACAGUGAUGGAAAGAUGAAAAGAACUUUGAAAAGAGAGUGAAAAAGUACGCGAAAUUGUUGAAAGGGAAGGGUUUUAAGAGAGACUUGGGCGGUAAUGAACAAUUUUCUUUCGGGAGGAUGCACUCAUUGCCAUCUGGGCCAAUAUGGGUUUGUAGAGUGGGAUAAAAGGGCAGGAAUGUGGCCAUU